CUGGCCUGCUUGAUUUGCAGACAGACCGUGUGCAUUCACACUAGGCUGACCUACCAAUUCUCCCUUUGUGCAGCACCAGUCCUGCAGUUCACGUCACUGACCCUCCCAGCCCACUGGUGUUCCACUUCACUGGACGCCCAUAUUGGAGGUAUGAUUCUCCCCAAAUGGAUUAAAUCAUCACACACAUCACAUCGCUUCUACAUGGGACAUAUAUCCUUUAACCCUUUAAAUGUAACUGGCAUUAGAC